rnacentral:rRNA from 1 species
AGAGUUGAUAUGGCUCAGGAUGAACGCUAGCGGCAGGCUUAACACAUGCAAGUCGAGGGGCAGCGGGAUGUAGCAAUACAUUGCCGGCGACCGGCGGAUGGGUGCGUAACGCGUAUGCAACCUACCUAUACAGGGGAAUAACCUUUCGAAAGGGAGACUAACACCCCAUAGUAUUGAUUUAAGGCAUCUUAGAUUAAUUAAAUAUUUAUAGGUAUAAGAUGGGCAUGCGUAUGAUUAGCUAGUUGGUAAGGUAACGGCUUACCAAGGCGACGAUCAUUAGGGGUUCUGAGAGGAAGGUCCCCCACACUGGUACUGAGACACGGACCAGACUCCUACGGGAGGCAGCAGUGAGGAAUAUUGGUCAAUGGGCGCAAGCCUGAACCAGCCAUGCCGCGUGCAGGAAAAGACGGCCUUAUGGGUUGUAAACUGCUUUUACAUAAGACUAACCGUAUAUUUGCGAAUAUACCUGAAUGUAUUAUGAGAAUAAGGAUCGGCUAACUCCGUGCCAGCCGCUGC